CAGUCGCCGCGGGAAUACGAAGGGUGCAAGCGUUAAUCGGAAUUACUGGGCGUAAAGCGUGCGUAGGCGGUGAGUUAAGUCUGCUGUGAAAUCCCCGGGCUCAACCUGGGAAUGGCAGUGGAUACUGGCUCGCUAGAGUGUGUCAGAGGAUGGUGGAAUUCCCGGUGUAGCGGUGAAAUGCGUAGAUAUGCGGAGGAACACCGAUGGCGAAGGCAAUCCCCUGGGCCUGCACUGACGCUCAUGCACGAAAGCGUGGGGAGCAAACAGGAUUAGAGACCCGAGUAGUCCCUGUCUCUUAUAC
rnacentral:rRNA from 1 species